rnacentral:rRNA from 1 species
GGUGUUGCAUGGCUGUCGUCAGCUCGUGUCGUGAGAUGUUGGGUUAAGUCCCGCAACGAGCGCAACCCUCAUCCUUAGUUACCAUCAGGUAAUGCUGGGGACUUUAAGGAAACUGCCAGUGAUAAACUGGAGGAAGGUGGGGAUGAUGUCAAGUCAUCAUGGCCCUUAUGGAGUGGGCUACACACGUGCUACAAUGGUGGCUACAAUGGGCUGCAAAGUCGCGAGGCUAAGCUAAUCCCUUAAAAGCCAUCUCAGUUCGGAUUGUACUCUGCAGCCCGAGUGCAUGAAGGUGGAAUCGCUAGUAAUCGCGGAUCAGCACGCCGCGGUGAAUACGUUCCCGGGUCUUGUACACAC